AUGUGAUGCUUCAGUUGAUUCGAGACGCUACAUGUGUAUAGGCCCAGUACGUCGACAUCAUUGAUCCGGCAGUGAACAAGAUAAGUGGUUCAGCCUCCAAGAUGUGUCACCAGAAAUGCAACCGACAUUAUAGACAGGCGUGAUUACUACUCUGAUUUUGGACUGAUGGUAUACUCGUCUUCAAAAUGGACCUGACUAGGAAUGAUGAUGGUGACUUCCCUCCUCAGAAAAAAGCUCGGUUGGAUUCGAAAGUUGGUGCAGGCGGUCAUUAGCGAUAUUUCGGUCGUAAACGCAAGAAGUCCAAGAAAUCCACUGACA